AGAAGAUAAAAACCUUACUAGAUCGGGAAGAGAUAAAUCUGUGUUUUUUGAAUCGGGACAAAGCGAUACAAAAGGUGACUGAGAGUUGCAAAGUGUGCGCUCAGGUUAACCCGGGAAGGACCAGGAUUGGACAAGGAGUUCGUCCUAGGGGACACCGUCCCGGCAUCCAUUGGGAAAUUGAUUUUACUGAAAUUAAACCAGCCCUUCUCUGAGGGCCCAUUUACAGGCCCUACAGAUUGUGCAGAGAGAUGUCUGGAGACCUUUGGCCGCUGCUUACCAGGACAAGCUUGAACAUCCGGUGGUGCCACACCCGUUCCAGAUUGGAGACACCGUGUGGGUGCGCAGACACCAGACCAAGAAUCUCGAGCCACGGUGGAAAGGACCCUACACCGUCCUCCCGACUACCCCGACCGCCCUAAAGGUAGACGGAGUCGCGGCUUAGAUCCACGCACCACACGUCAAGGCAGUCCGGUCUGAGGAAUUGACUAAUCACAACACUACACCCCAGACAUGGAGAGUUCAGCGCACUCCAAACCCCUUAAAGUUAAAACUCCUACGUGGCUCCUCCUAGUCCUUUUGUGGCCUAGAGUCAGUGGGGGAAUAAGCCCCCACCAGACAGAAAUUUCUUGACCAAGUCGAGUGAAAGAUUUCACUCAAAGUUAGUAAAAAAAAAAUGGGGGAAUGAAAGACCCCAGCUUAGCAGCAGUAACGCCAUUUUGCAAGGCUGUACUUAAGAUGACUGGUUCAGGGAAAGGUUAGAACACUGAGUACACAGCGGCUGCCAAGCAGGAUGUGUUUGGUUGAAGGCCUGGCAACAGGACGACUUCGGUUAAGCACCUGACAAUGAAAAAAAGCCCCGGGAGAGGUCCCACACCCUGGUGGGGGGCCGAGUCAGUCGUUAUGUUCCAAGAAGGUAGCUAAGAAACUUGCCCCCGGGCUAAACCCUUGCCAUAUUAGAAUCCACCAAUUAUAUCCCUGUAACCAUGCAUCUGCUUCUGUAUGCUUGCUUCUGCUCCCCAAAAUCCUAUAAAAGCCCAUCCUUGGUUCCAUGGGGCGCGCCAGUCCCCCGAGUGACUGAAGCGCCCGCAGGUGCCUGUGCCUGUGUAUCCCGACAAUAAACCAAAUCCUCUUGCUGAUUGCA
ensembl:lncRNA